rnacentral:tRNA from 1 species
GGGGGUAUAGCUCAGUGGUAGAGCAUGUGCUUAGCAUGUACGAGGUUGCAUGAGGUCCUGGGUUCAUCCCCAGUACUUUCA